rnacentral:rRNA from 1 species
AGAGUUUGAUCAUGGCUCAGAAUGAACGUUGGCGGCGUGGAUUAGGCAUGCAAGUCGGACGGGCCGCAAGGCCAGUGGCGUAAGGGUGAGUAAGGCGACGGCAAUCCACCCCACGGUUGGGUAUAGCCGCGAGAAAUCGCGGGUAAUCCCCAGCGACGCGCGGCGUCGGCAUCGACGCCCUGCCAAAGGCUCGCCGCCGUGGGACGAGCCGUCGUGGUAUUAGGUCGUUGGCGGGGUAACGGCCCACCAAGCCUGCGAUCAGUAACUGGUGUGAGAGCACGACCAGUCACACGGGCACUGAGACACGGGCCCGACUCCUACGGGAGGCAGCAGUAAGGAAUAUUGGUCAAUGGACGCAAGUCUGAACCAGCCAUGCCGCGUGGAGGAUGAAGGUCCUCUGGAUUGUAAACUUCUUUUAUCUGGGAAGAAACCCAUAUUUUCUAGUAUGGUUGACGGUACCAGAUGAAUAAGCACCGGCUAACUUCGUGCCAGCAGCCGCGGUAAUAC